rnacentral:lncRNA from 7 species
GACUGACCCCAAAUCCUCAUGAAAUGACCCCAAAUCUCAGCACCCAAUCCCAAAUUCAGCUGAAUUGGCCCCAAAUCUCAGCACCUGACCCCAAACUCUCACAAACUGACCCCAAAUCUCAGCACCCGACCCCAAAUUCAGCUGAAUUGGCCCCAAAUCUCAGCACCUGACCCCAAAUCUCAGGAAAUGACCCCAAAUCCCACUGAAUUCACCCCACAUCUCAGCACCUGACCCCACAUCUCAGCACCUGACCCCAAACUCUCACAAACGGACCCCAAAUCUCAGCAUCUGACCCUAAACUCUCACAAACUGACCCCAAACCUCAGCACCCGACCCCAAAUUCAGCCCAAUCGGCCCCAAAUCUCAGCAUCUGACCCCAAAUCUCCGGCCCUGACCCCAAACUCUCACAAACUGACCCCAAAUCUCAGCAUCUGACCCCAAACUCUCACAGACUGACCCCAAACCUCAGCACCUGACCCCAAAUUCAGCCCAAUCGGCCCCAAAUCUCAGCAUCUGACCCCAAAUCUCAGCAUCUGACCCCAAACUCUCA